rnacentral:lncRNA from 1 species
UUAGGAAAUGUUUGCUGCUAUGUUGUAUGGGUUUCUACCAUCUACUUAUUUUGUUUGUUUUCCAGUGGAUCUUGGAGUCUUCAGAUUUCAUAAGGCUGUUGGCCUCAUCUGAGCUAGGAAAAGGUUAGCAGUAGCUGCUAUAACACAGCUCUAGAGAGGAGCUGAUGUAAGGAAGCGAUGCUAAAGCAAUGCUGAAUGUCCUUGCUCAGCAUUUUUAGGUGUUUUUAGGGUGCUACUUGUUUGGGGAUUUUUUUAGAUUUCCUGUGAAUAUUUCUUGCAAUUCUUCUCAUUUCUUGCUUUGUUUCUCUCCUGUAGCUCUUAACAUAGAAACCUAUCAAGUAACACAGCACCGAGUGGGGUCAAAGAGAUGUUCCCCAAAUACACGAGAAUUCACACUCUCAGUCUUCCCUUUCCAAAUGAGCCCCGCUUUCAGGUUGCAUUUGUUGCAAGGAACAGGCUGGAGGAAGGUGAUGGCUGGAGAAGAGCUGAGCUGACAGACCUGUGACCACACGAACCCAAAAGGGGCAGCCUGCAGCUGCACCGCCCAGCACCCAGAGGCUGAGACCGUGAUGAUAGGAAUACACUCAAAGAAAGCAAAGGAGCAGCAGAGGACCCGCAGCAGCCGGGCCGGGGCCGUGCUCGGCCUAUAAUCAUGCCAUCAUGAGAGAGGAGAACAUGCCAUCGUGAGGAGGAGGGCUUCAGUGCAGUGAGCAAAGGGGAUGAAAGGGGCUGCAGAAAAACAAGCAGGAAUGGCAGCCACCUCUUUGCAUCUUGGCCUUUGCACCAGCCCCCCAUGGUGAUGCAGUGUGUGGGGCUGCAGCAAGGAGCAGGUGCUGUGUGCUUCUGCUGAGCAUUAUGGAACGCUCCCUCGGAGGCUGGGAGCUGCCAAGGCGUGUCCUGAUGGGACAGAUGUUGUUUCGUUACUGUCACCAUGGCAUCCUGCAUGUUUGAAGGGAACAUGUGUUUGUUAAGGAAAAGCAACUGUUACCAAGACGUUCGCUUCUCUCCUUGCCUUGGUUUGGCUGAAGGGCAAAGACAAAGCUCGAGG